ACCAGACUCCUACGGGAGGCAGCAGUGGGGAAUAUUGCACAAUGGGGGAAACCCUGAUGCAGCGACGCCGCGUGAAGGAUGAAGUAUUUCGGUAUGUAAACUUCUAUCAGCAGGGAAGAAAAUGACGGUACCUGACUAAGAAGCCCCGGCUAACUACGUGCCAGCAGCCGCGGUAAUACGUAGGGGGCAAGCGUUAUCCGGAUUUACUGGGUGUAAAGGGAGCGCAGGCGGCACGGCAAGCCUGAUGUGAAAGCCCGCGGCCCAACCGCGGGACUGCAUUGGGAACUACCGGGCUGGAGUGCAGGAGAGGUAGGCGGAAUUCCUAGUGUAGCGGUGAAAUGCGUAGAUAUUAGGAGGAACACCAGUGGCGAAGGCGGCCUGCUGGGCUUUUACUGACGCUGAGGCUCGAAAGUGUGGGGAGCAAACAGGAUUAGAUACCCCAGUAUCA
rnacentral:rRNA from 1 species